rnacentral:lncRNA from 1 species
GCAGGUAGACUACAUGCAUAAUAGGACUAAUCAUAAUUUGCCUACUUAUUUUUAUUGUGGUAAACAUGGUCAUACAUCUAUAUCAUGCUACAUUAGGAAAUAUGGUAUACCUAGUGGUAAAUAUGUAUGGAUGCAAAAAGGGCAAGAAUCUUUGAUUACGAAUAAGAAAGGACCCAAUAUGACUUGGGUACCCAAAAAAUGCAAGUAAAAUUGUUUUGCAGAUAUGCCUUCAGACUCAGGGACAACACUUAUACUUGGACAAUGGAUGUUCGAGGCAUAUGACAUGUGAUAGAUCAAAGUUCCUAGAUCUCUCACUAAACGGUAAAGGUUAUGUCACUUAUGGAUAUAACAAUAGAGGGAAGAUACUAGGCAUUGGAAGAAUUGGAAAUGCUUCACAAGCCG